rnacentral:rRNA from 1 species
GUGAGGAAUAUUGGUCAAUGGGCGAGAGCCUGAACCAGCCAAGUCGCGUGAAGGAUGAAGGCCUUCGGGUUGUAAACUUCUUUUGGAGGGGACGAAUAAAUUGACGGUACCCUCAGAAAAAGCCACGGCUAACUACGUGCCAGCAGCCGCGGUAAUACGUAGGUGGCGAGCGUUACUCGGAAUUACUAGGCGUAAAGCGUAUGUAGGCGGUUGUAUAAGUCUAUGGUGAAAUUUCCUGGCUCAACUGGGAAGGGACAUAGAUACUGUAUGGCUUGAGUGUUGGAGGGGGAGACGGAAUUCCUGGUGUAGCGGUGAAAUGCGUAGAUAUCAGGAGGAACACCGAUGGCGAAAGCAGUCUCCUGGCCAAAUACUGACGCUGAGGUACGAAAGCUAGGGUAGCAAACAGGAUUAGAAACCCCGGUAGUCC